rnacentral:rRNA from 1 species
CCUACGGGAGGCAGCAGUGAGGAAUAUUGGUCAAUGGACGAGAGCCUGAACCAGCCAAGCCGCGUGAAGGAUGACUGCCCUAAGGGUUGUAAACUUCUUUUAUCAGGGAAUAAAACGAGGCACGUGUCCCUUUUUGAGUGUACUUUAUGAAUAAGGAUCGGCUAACUCCGUGCCAGCAGCCGCGGUAAUACGGAGGAUCCGAGCGUUAUCCGGAUUUAUUGGGUUUAAAGGGAGCGUAGGUGGGUUGUUAAGUCAGUUGUGAAAGUUUGGGGCUCAACCGGAAAAGUGCAAUUGAUACUGGCAGUCUUGAGUAGAGUAGAGGUAAGCGGAAUGCGCGGUGUAGCGGUGAAAUGCGUAGAUAUCGCGAAGAACCCCGAUUGCGAAGGCAGCUUACUAGACUGAGACUGACGUUGAGGCUCGAAAGUGUGGGUAUCAAACAGGAUUAGAUACCCUGGUAGUC